GUUAUUUUUGGAGACAUUCGAUAAAAUUGAAAGAUAGAGAAUAUUAGCAUGGCCCUGCACAAGGAUGACACAUUUGCUAAGGAUAACAAAUUUCAU
rfam:Picea glauca, whole genome shotgun sequence.